CAUAGCCGCGGUAAUACGUAGGGUGCAAGCGUUAAUCGGAAUUACUGGGCGUAAAGCGUGCGCAGGCGGUUCGUUAAGACAGAUGUGAAAUCCCCGGGCUUAACCUGGGAACUGCAUUUGUGACUGGCGAGCUAGAGUAUGGCAGAGGGGGGUAGAAUUCCACGUGUAGCAGUGAAAUGCGUAGAGAUGUGGAGGAAUACCGAUGGCGAAGGCAGCCCCCUGGGCCAAUACUGACGCUCAUGCACGAAAGCGUGGGGAGCAAACAGGAUUAGAUACCCCAGUAGUCCCUGUCUCUUAUACA
rnacentral:rRNA from 1 species